rnacentral:rRNA from 1 species
GGCGGACGGGUGAGUAACACCUGGGAAACCUGCCUCCCACUGGGGGAUAACAGUCAUAAAUGACUGCUAAUACCUGCAUGAACACACAGCGCUGAAUGGAGCACCGAGAAAAACUCUCGGUGGUAUGAGAUGGACCCGCUUCCGAUUACCCAUUUGGUGGGGUAACGGCCUGCCAAGGGGACGAUCAGUAGCCGAUCUGAGAGGGUGACCGGUCGCCUUGGGACUGACACUCCGCCCAAACUCCUACGGGAGGCACUCGUGGGGAAUAUUGUUCAAUGGGGGAAACCCUGAUGCAGCGACGCCGUGUGAGCGAAAAAGAAUUUCGGUAUGCAAAGCUCUAUCAGCAGGGAAGAAAAUGACGGUUGCUGACUAAGAACCCCCGGAUAAGUACGUGUCAUCUGCCGCGGUAAUACAUAUGGGGCCAGCGUUAUCCGGAUUUACUGGUUGUAAAGGGAGCCCAUACUGAUGUGCUAGUCUGAAGUUGAAAAGGCGGGGGCUCAACCCCCGGGACUGCUUUGGAAACUGUGUAUCUAGAGUGCCGGAGAGGUAAGCGGGAAUUUCCCAGUGUAGCGGUGAAAUGCGUAGAUAUUGGGAGGAACACCAGUGGCGAAGGCGGCUUACUGGACGGUAACUGACGUUGAGGCUCGAAAGCGUGGGGAGCAAACAGGAUUAGAUACCAUGGUAGUCCACGCCGUAAACGAUGACUACUAGGUGUCGGGUGUCAUAGACAUUCGGUGCCGCAGCAAACGCAGUAAGUAUUCCACCUGGGGAGUACGUUCGCAAGAAUGAAACCCAAAGGAAUUGACGGGGACUCGCACAAGCGGUGGAGCAUGUGGUUUAAUUCGAAGCAACGCGAAGAACCUUACCAAGUCUUGACAUCCCGAUGACCGGCACGUAACGGUGCCUUCUCUUCGGAGCAUCGGAGACAGGUGGUGCAUGGUUGUCGUCAGCUCGUGUCGUGAGAUGUUGGGUUAAGUCCCGCAACGAGCGCAACCCCUAUCCUUAGUAGCCAGCGGUUUGGCCGGGCACUAUGAGGAGAUUGCCAGGGAUAACCUGGAGGAAGGCGGGGAUGACGUCAAAUCAUCAUGCCCCUUAUGAUUUGGGCUUCACACGUGCUACAAUGGGGUAAACAAAGGGAAGCGAGAGUGUGAGCUUAAGCAAAUCCCAAAAAUAACGUCCCAGUUCGGACUGCAGUCUGCAACUUGACUGCACGAAGCUGGAAUCGUUAGUAAUCGCGGAUCAGAAUGCCGCGGUGAAUACGUUCCCGGGUCUUGUUCACACCUCCCGUCACCCCAUGGGAGUCAGUAACUCCGGAAGUCAGUGACCGAACCGAAAGGACGGAGCUCCCGAAGGCGGGACGGAUGACUG